rnacentral:tRNA from 1 species
GGGUCCGUGAUACAGCUGAAACCGAGCGCAUGUCGACGAAAGUUGAGCGGUGGACUCAUAAUCCAUUGGUCGCUGGUUCGAGUCCAGCCGGCCCCA